GUAUAUACAGGUGCUGUAGAAAUGGGGUCUGAUUGCAUUGGCUUUGGAAAGUUUAUUGUUCAUAUUGUUGUAUAGCUUUGAAUUUGAUUAUGGUCCCGGUUCAUAUCAACCUAAUUAUAAAUACAUAAGCAACAUGGUGCACAAACACAACUUGUCAAACACAAUUGACCAUUAAUUUACUCAAGUGAAGAGUCAAUUUUAUGAACACAUCGGGAAAAAACAAGAACAUCAUCAGGGUGUUGAGCUCCACCCUUUUGAUCAUCAUGACCCUUAUCAUGGCUGCUGUCACUGAUUAUGGACUCUCGAAUCACCGCCUUCGCCACCGGAUCGUCAACUCCUCCAUGACCGCGACCGUUAGUAGUAGUGGUGGCAUUCUUCUUUGCCUCUUUCUCCAUCUGCUCUCUUCUCUCUUUAUGAGCCUCCAUCCUCGUCUCUCUGGCGUCUUCAACUUGUUACCUUGUGUGUGUUCUGCCGUCUCCAUCUAAAAUCCAUGGACCUGCUUUUUAUAAACGAAGUAAAGAGUAUACGUGUCCUUUUUCCGGUGAGAGGUGGCACACCAGUGUGUCUUCUUUAUAAGGCAAACAGCAAGGAGCCUACACACGUAUGAGGUCUUGAGGUAGCUGCAUGCUACCUGCUACUAUCUUCUUUUUGUUUCAAUGCUACCUGCUCCUUGCUACCUGCUAGUGUUGAAGUUACAAAAAAUACAAUAUAGUAGUUGAUAACUUGAUGUGAAUCAAUAGUGAAGAUACGUUACUUAAAAUAAAACAGUUUAAGGAAAACAUUGUUUAUAUCUAUUGUGAAUUGUGUUUUUUCCUCUUAAUUUCGGAUUAAUUGUGUUUUUGCCCCGAUUUGUCAAUAAUUAUAAAAUUGUCAUCACUUACCUAAGGUGUUGCGUGUUAUUGUUGCUGCGUGGCCUCAUACUUACAUUCCACGAAGUUACUGCUUGGUUUUUGUAUGAUUGGCGUUUUGAAUCAGAGGUAUUAUCUUCAUCUCAGAUUCUUGAAUGUUACUCUCU
rnacentral:lncRNA from 1 species